rnacentral:rRNA from 1 species
UAAUGCCUGCCCAGUGAUAUAUUAAACGGCCGCGGUAUCCUAACCGUGCAAAGGUAGCGUAAUCACUUGUCUUUUAAAUAAAGACUAGAAUGAACGGCAAAACGAGAUUCUACCUGUCUCUUACAAACAAUCAGUGAAAUUGAUCUCCUUGUGCAAAAGCAAGGAUAAUACUAUAAGACGAGAAGACCCUGUGGAACUUCAAAUAUAUAUAUCAACCACCACCUAUACCACUCUACGGACUCACAGUAGACCAUAAAACUGAAAUAUACUUUUUGGUUGGGGUGACCUCGGAGUACAGGAAAACCUCCGAAAAAGAAUAUUAUUCUAUACCUAGACACACAACUCAAAGUGCCCACAGCAAAAUAGAUCCAAUACAAUUGAUCAACGGACCAAGCUACCCCAGGGAUAACAGCGCAAUCCUAUCCUAGAGUCCCUAUCGACGAUAGGGUUUACGACCUCGAUGUUGGAUCAGGACAUCCUGAUGGUGCAGCCGCUAUCAAGGG